GGACCCGCACAAGUAGUGGAGCAUGUGGUUUAAUUCGAAGAUACGCGCAGAACCUUACCAACACUUGACAUGUUCGUCGCGACUUUAAGAGAUUAAAGUUUUCGGUUCGGCCGGACGAAACACAGGUGCUGCAUGGCUGUCGUCAGCUCGUGUCGUGAGAUGUUGGGUUAAGUCCCGCAACGAGCGCAACCCUCACUUUUAGUUGCCAUCAUUAAGUUGGGCACUCUGAAAGAACUGCCAGUGAUAAGCUGGAGGAAGGUGGGGAUGACGUCAAGUCCUCAUGGCCCUUACGUGUUGGGCUACACACGUGCUACAAUGGUAUUUACAACAGGAAGCAAGUUCGCGAGGAC
rnacentral:rRNA from 1 species